rnacentral:rRNA from 1 species
UACGUAGGGGGGCAAGCGUUUGUCCGGAAUCAUUGGGCGUAAAGAGCGUGUAGGCGGCCCGGUAAGUCCGCUGUGAAAGUCCAGGGCUCAACCCUGGGAUGCCGGUGGAUACUGUCGGGCUCGAGUCCGGAAGAGGCGAGUGGAAUUCCUGGUGUAGCGGUGAAAUGCGCAGAUAUCAGGAGGAACACCAAUGGCGAAGGCAGCUCGCUGGGACGGUACUGACGCUGAGACGCGAAAGCGUGGGGAGCAAACAGG